rnacentral:rRNA from 1 species
UACCUACGGGGGGCAGCAGUGGGGAAUAUUGCACAAUGGGGGGAACCCUGAUGCAGCGACGCCGCGUGGGUGAAGGAGCACCUCGGUGCGUAAAGCCCUAUCGGCAGGGAAGAAAGGCGGGCGGGGCCCGUCUGGACGGUACCUGACUAAGAAGCCCCGGCUAACUAAGUGCCAGCAGCCGCGGGAAUACGUAGGGGGCAAGCGUUAUCCGGAUUCACUGGGUGUAAAGGGAGCGUAGACGGCGGGGCAAGUCUGGAGUGAAAGCCCGGGGCCCAACCCCGGGACUG